UUCCACCUCUUCCCAUUCCGAACAGAGAAGUUAAGCCUUGUCACGCCGAUGGUACUGCGUCACAGUGGGAGAGUAGGUAGCCGCCGUUU
rnacentral:rRNA from 1 species